rnacentral:lncRNA from 1 species
GACCAAAUGUAGAUUCCUCCUAAAGCCCAAGAUAGUAAAAAAGAGGACCAAGAAAUUCAUCUGGCACCAGUCAGACGGACAGGUCCAAGUUAAGUGUAACUGGUGGAGACCAAGAGGUAUUGAUGACAAGGUGCAGAGAAGAUUUAAGGGCCAGAUGUUGAUGCCCAACUUUGGUUAUGGAGGCAACAAGAAAACAAAACACAUGCUGCCUAGUGCCUUCCGGAAGUUCCUGGUCCACACUGUCAAGGAGCCACAAGUGCUGCUGAUGUGUAGCAAAUCUUGCUGCACUGACAUUGUUCACCAUGUCUCUUCCAAGAACUCCAAAACUGUCUUGGAAAGAGCAGCCCAUCUGGCCAUCAGGGUAAACAAUCCCAAUGCCAGGCUGUGCAGCAAAGAAAAUGAAUAG